GUGGGGAAUAUUGCACAAUGGGGGGAACCCUGAUGCAGCGACGCCGCGUGGGUGAGGAAAUGCCUCGGCAUGUAAAGCCCUAUCGGCAGGGAAGAAAUUGACGGUACCUGACUAAGAAGCCCCGGCUAACUACGUGCCAGCAGCCGCGGUAAUACGUAGGGGGCAAGCGUUAUCCGGAUUCACUGGGCGUAAAGGGAGCGCAGGCGGCUCGGCAAGUCUGAUGUGAAAGCCCGGGGCCCAACCCCGGGACUGCAUUGGAAACUGUCGCGCUUGAGUGUCGGAGGGGCAGGCGGAAUUCCUAGUGUAGCGGUGAAAUGCGUAGAUAUUAGGAGGAACACCGGCGGCGAAGGCGGCCUGCUGGACGACGACUGACGCUGAGGCUCGAAAGCGUGGGGAGCAAACAGGA
rnacentral:rRNA from 1 species